AGUGAACGCUGGCGGUAGGCCUAACACAUGCAAGUUGAACGGCAGCACAGUAAGAGCUUGCUCUUACGGGUGGCGAGUGGCGGACGGGUGAGGAAUACAUCGGAAUCUACUUUUUCGUGGGGGAUAACGUAGGGAAACUUACGCUAAUACCGCAUACGACCUACGGGUGAAAGCAGGGGAUCUUCGGACCUUGCGCGAUUGAAUGAGCCGAUGUCGGAUUAGCUAGUUGGCGGGGUAAAGGCCCACCAAGGCGACGAUCCGUAGCUGGUCUGAGAGGAUGAUCAGCCACACUGGAACUAAGACACGGUCCAGACUCCUACGGGAGGCAGCAGUGGGGAAUAUUGGACAAUGGGCGCAAGCCUGAUCCAGCCAUACCGCGUGGGUGAAGAAGGCCUUCGGGUUGUAAAGCCCUUUUGUUGGGAAAGAAAAGCAGCAGGUUAAUACCCCGCUGUUCUGACGGUACCCAAAGAAUAAGCACCGGCUAACUUCGUG
rnacentral:rRNA from 1 species